ensembl:lncRNA
AAAACAAGUGUUGAUCAGACAUGGAAAUAAAAGUGCUGAAAACAAAUUGACUCCCAACAUAAAAAGAAGAUGAAGAACAAAGCUAUGAAGGAAAAAAUACUGGAGUUUUGGUGCAGGCACAGCCAACUAGCACAAAACUAAUAUUAGGAUACUGUCAAAACGUUAGGACUCAUCUUAAAAAAUAUGUAACUGCAUCAGUCUCCCCCCCCAUCACUAUCUAAUGAUUAUGUGUAGUAGUCGUUUACUCAUUAGCCUGACAUAAAUACACCUACCAACCUUUAAGACAGGUUUGAAUCCAGAGCCCAUUCAGAGGGGUUUGGUUCAAAUACAGAAGACAUUUUUUUGGAAUGCAUUCAGUUGUGCAACUGACUAGGUCUCCCCCUUUCCCUAAUGAUGAUGUUCAGUCCUAGUAGGUCUUCCCCCCUUUCCCUCAUGAUGACGUUUAGUCCUAGUAGGUCCCCCCCUUUCCCUAAUGAUGAUGUUUAGUCCUAGUAGGUCCCCC